GAGUUUGAUCCUGGCUCAGGAUGAACGCUGGCGGCGUGCUUAACACAUGCAAGUCGAGCGGAGCACAUCGUUGGAAUCCUUCGGGAGGAAGAAGGUGUGGCUUAGCGGCGGACGGGUGAGUAACGCGUGGACAACCUGCCCUAUGCAGGGGGAUAACAUCCGGAAACGGGUGCUAAUACCGCAUAAGCGCACAGUACCGCAUGGUACGGUGUGAAAAGCUGAGGCGGCAUAGGAUGGGUCCGCGUUGGAUUAGGCAGUUGGCGGGGUAACGGCCCACCAAACCGACGAUCCAUAGCCGGCCUGAGAGGGUGGACGGCCACAUUGGGACUGAGACACGGCCCAGACUCCUACGGGAGGCAGCAGUGGGGAAUAUUGCACAAUGGGGGGAACCCUGAUGCAGCGACGCCGCGUGGGUGAGGAAGUACUUCGGUAUGUAAAGCCCUAUCAGCAGGGAAGAAAAUGACGGUACCUGACUAAGAAGCCCCGGCUAACUACGUGCCA
rnacentral:rRNA from 1 species